UGCCUUGGCCUCCCAAAGUGCUGGGAUUAUAGUCAUGAGCCACUGCACCCGGCCCAUCCUCAAAUUUUGGUAUGAGGUGGUGUCCUGGAAUCAAUCCCCCAUGGAUACCAAAGGAUGACUGUACUGUAUUCCUAGCAUGAAUUCAGUAUCAAUCAGGUGAAUCGUGCUCCUUAACAGUCAGGUGAUGACAGAGUUGCAGGAACCAGGAUGGAUGCCAGGUGCUGGAAAAGAGGAGGAAAUCUCAGGAGGCUAGAGACAGCCCAGGCCUCUGCAGCACCCGGGGCUGCGGAAAGAACUGGGGGCUGGAGGGAGAGACAGAAGAAACAAUCGCUGCGCGGCCCAUUACAUUUACAGCACGUCGCCCUUUAAUUGGUGUAACACGCUGAGGCCUGAAAGGAGGAGAGGCCCACAAAGGCGCCCGUGAAUGAGCCUUGACUCACACAAAAACACUCUGCAGAAGUUCAGAGCUGGCCACUAACAAGGAGGUAGGGAGUUAGUUUGAAAAGAGGGUGAAGUUCAGAAAUGUGUCACCUUGAGGAGCCUCCCAUCAAAGCAAUGGUCGCAUUGACAAGCUGCAAAGAAAAAAAGUUAAACCUUCAGGGCUGCGGACUUGCCUGCUGGAUUUAUUCUUAAACUUGAGGAGGGGGGAAGGAGAGGGAGAGUCUUUCUUUUUCUUCUCCUCUUCUCCACCCUUGUCUCUCUGCGCCCCCCCCCACCCCUAUUUACUUCAGAGAGCC
rnacentral:lncRNA from 1 species